AUGUUAGAAUGGAAUAGCCUCUUUGAGGAUAUUAAGAAUGUUAUUCUUACAGACAGACCUGAUACUCUCGUAUGGAAAUACAAGACAAAAGGGCUAUAUACAGUGAAAUCCUUCUACAAUAUUGUUAAUUUUAGAGGGAUCCUGCCUGGGGUUAAGCCCGUGGUGUGGAAAACUAAAAUUCCCCCUCGUAUUCAAAUUUUUUGCUGGUUGAUAAUGAAUAACAAACUAUUGACCAGAGACAACCUGUGCAAGAGACAACAUGUUCCAGAUAAAACGUGUCUUUUUUGCUCUGAACAUGAGUCCUCUUGUCAUCUUUUUUUCUCUUGUGUGGUUGCUGCGGAACUUUGGAGAGUUGUCAGGGAUGCGGCCAAUAUCAAAGUUUAUGAAGAUAUUCAUGAAAUGAUGAUAGCCUGGGCCAGCAAACCUGACACGGCGGCUACGUUUAUACAAGCUGCGGCCAUGUGGGCUCUCUGGAGGAGCAGAAAUGAUAUAUGUUUUAACUGA
rnacentral:rRNA from 1 species